UACGAGGGGGGCGAGCGUUGUUCGGAAUUAUUGGGCGUAAAGAGCUCGUAGGCGGCUUGUCGCGUCGGAUGUGAAAGCCCGGGGCUUAACUCCGGGUCUGCAUUCGAUACGGGCAGGCUAGAGUUCGGUAGGGGAGAUCGGAAUUCCUGGUGUAGCGGUGAAAUGCGCAGAUAUCAGGAGGAACACCGGUGGCGAAGGCGGAUCUCUGGGCCGAUACUGACGCUGAGGAGCGAAAGCGUGGGGAGCGAACAGG
rnacentral:rRNA from 1 species